UCUUAAUUUUAUACUUGAAACAAUUGAGGCUUGAAGAUAUUAAGUGUCUUAUCAGGCUAGUUACAUAAAGGAAAUUUCAACUGGGAUGAAAUACUAGCAUCUGGAUCAAAGGUGAAAAGACUCCAUUUAUUUCUACCAAUUCAGACAAUGCAGUGUUAUACAUACACUGAAUGAAUAUUCUGGAUGGCAUUGAUUUGGCAAAACAAAAACAAACCAAUACAGCAAUAACUGCUCCCUUGGAAAAGUUGGUGGAUUCAAAAUCAUGAGGUUCCCUCACCCCCCAUCCUGAGCCAAACAAAACAUUCUUUACCUGCUCAGUCAUACCUGGUAAUUUCACAACGAUUAGGUGAUCGUGUUCCCUGACUCUCAUCGGCAGCAGGGCUCCUGGAAGUCCUGCUUCUCAUUACUACUGUGGACUGGAGCCUCCCCAGAGCUCCCUGGGGUCCUUGGCCUGGGUGAAGAUGGAUGAAGAUCAGAUCCAGCAGCUGUGGGUAGAGGAGGGUCCAGGAAGCAGGCACAAAGAGAGGUAAUUCAUCCACAUGGCAAAACAGAGCAUGAUCUGGGGAAGCUGGAGGCCUCCCAAACAGGGCCUCAACUGUCAGAACAUGUAAUAAACAUAACCAGCCAGAGGACUGAGGGGAGGCAGAAGGCACACAGUUAACCACUGCAGCAGAAAGUAGCAGAAAUGAAGGGAGAAGGCAAUGUUCUAGAUAGAAACUGCUUUAUUGGCCUGGGUUUCUUGGAGCGAAGAAACAUUGAGGAGCAGAUCCCCCAGCUGAUUCAGCAGACGUGCAGCAGAAGCCGACGGAAACCUCUGCUGUUUUAAGGCACUGAGAUUUUGGAGUUGUUUGCUAUCAUAGUGUAAUCUAUCAUCUCCUAACUGAUUCAAUGUGUUUAUCACAAUUAAUUGGUUUUUCUCAGUUUUAAUAACCAUAGAAAUACACAGCUGUCAUUCAGAGCCUCUAACAAGAAAGUGGUGUGACUCAUUAAACUGGUAGCACUCCUGCCAAAACCAAAGCAAUGUGAUCAUUCCAGUAGCAAUUGUUGCAAUAGAACCGUUUUAUUAUUUGUAAGAUAAAUGUAAUUUCUGCUAGGCUUUUUCAGCCUCUGGAUAUAUCUUAGAUGCUCAUGACUACUUCAGCUCCUGUUUUUACUGAGUGUGCUUAGUUCAACUGUCACUGGCUUAUGUAUCCCGGGGCCCUUCCAGUUGGGCAUGCUGGAAAAAAAAACAUCCUCUUUGGAAGCAGUAGUACGUUCUUGAACCUCUCUGAACCUCAGUUUCCUUACUUAUAAAACAAGAAUUACAAAUACUACCUCACAGAGUUGUCAUGAUCAUCAAAUGAAAUAUUAUAAUUGCUGCUCUUCAAGCAGUAUACAGCACAGGUACAGCUGGCUCUCUGAAUGGGUCAGGUACCUUUCAGCUCUAAGGAAGGUGACCAUGAGUUUAGGUUUGCCCUAAAUGCUCCCAGUUUCUGCUACUUGUUCUUAUAUCACAAUUAUUAUUUUAAAAAUAAUGAUGUAUUUAAUUUAAUCUGGAGCAAUUUUGUUCAAUCUUUCUAUGUCUUUUGUGGCAUUGACAUUUUUAAAGUGGACAGGUCAGUUAUUUUGCAGAAUGUUCCUUAAUUUGGUGUUAUCUGUUUCCUCAUGAUUAGAUUUAGAUUAUGCUAUUUUUUGGCAAAAAUGUCACAGAAAGAUGUGUGUUCUUCUCAGUGCUUUGUGUCAAGAGGCACAAGAUGUGAAAUUGUCCCCUUACUGGUGAUGUUAAUUUUGAUCUCUUGGUUAGGUGGUAUCUUCCAGAUUUCUCUGCUAUGAAGUUUACAUUUUCCCCUUUGUAAUUAAUAAGUGACUUUGCAAGAGAUAACUUAAAACUAUGCACAUAUCCUGUUACUCCUGAAACUUUCAUCCAGGAGUUUUAAUAUCCAUUAAUAAUUCUUGUCUAAAUCUAUUAUUGUCAUGGCUGCUGUCUUAGUUUGUGUUGCUAUAACAAAAUACACAGACUACAUAAUUGAUCAAAUAACAGACACUUAUUUCUCACAGUUCUGGAGGCCUUGGAAUUCCAUGAUCAAGACACCAGCAGAUUCAGUGUCUGGUGAGGGCCUGGUGCCUUGGUGCUAAGUCCUCAAGAGAGGAUGAACAUUGUGUCCUCACGCGGUGGAAUGCAGAAGGGUAAAGGGCCUAGUUAGUUGCUAUCAGCCCUUUAAGGCACUUAAUCCAAUCCAUGAGAGCAGAGCCCUCCUGGCCUAAUCACCUCCUAAAGUCCCCACCUCUUAAUACUAUCACAUUGGUAUCAAGAUUCAGCAUAUGAAUUUUGGAGGACACAUUGAGAGUAUAGCAAUUACCAAAUGGUGAUCUUCUAAAUACAAUAUUUUUUUACUUUUAUUAGUUGGCUUUCUACUGUAAGGAAAAGCUUUCCCUUCCCGAUCAUUUGCUUACUCAGAUCCAUAGGGACUCACAUAUGUAGUCUUAUUUUAGUCAAUGGAUUUUGACAUUGAUUUUGUUGAUUUUCUUUGAUGCUCAAAUUGUACCACUGGCCAUCUCUAGUCAUUUUCUAAGUCUGUUUCAAAAACCAUGUCUUUCAGAAGCCUGAUUUAGUCCACUUCAGCCAGUCAGUAACUCUCAUUUCUGUGCUCCUCUCAGUCUAUGUACUUUCCACUCCUUAUACAAGUUUCUUAUUGGGUUGUACUUGUUGGUUUCUUUUCUCACAUUAGAUUGUGAGCUCUUCAGUAUGAAGGAAGUGUCUGAUUUAUCUCUAUAUCCUUAAUGCUUAGCACAGAGACUGGUGCAUGGAGGAAACUCAAUUUUUCCUUAUUAAAAAGCAUGAAUGAAUGGAAGAAAGAAAAACAGUUCUUAAGUUUCUACCAACCAGUUCCAAUCCCUUUUUGGGGUACUAGCUUUAACUAGCAAAAAGAAAUUAUCUGUAACAUUCAUAGCAGGCUGCUGUGAGUCUUGCAAUAGUGAGGCUGAUUCAAGGUGGAUUAAAUUGUCAACAUGUUUGAAUUUAACAUAAAUGAUCCCCCCAUUUCAGAAGCUGCCUGCCAACUCUGAUCUCAUAUCCUUAGUGAUUCUUUACUAUUAGCUUGAUAUGGUGUUGUUUUCUCUCCUAGUUCCUCACUCAAUAGGAACUGCUCUCCCCAAAGAUGAAAAGAAGGGAUGUAAUAACCUUUCCAUCACAGGUGGUGAACCUAGAGGAGAGGAUCUGAAUCCCUGAUCAGUCGGUCCAGGUUUGGCUUCCUUUCUGUGCAGCUCAGAUGAGUGACUUUGGGACACUGGGGAUCAGAGAGUGAAGAACUUGCCUAUGGUCACACACCUGGUAAGCAGACAUCAUAUACAAACCAUGUUCUCUCCAAUACAUACACUACCAUUUCUAUAUUUAGAAAAUAUGUCAUAAAUAGGAUGUAAAUGCUAACUUUUCCUAUUUAAUUUCCUGUUUUACUAGAUUACAUAAGAGGACACAAAUGUUAUAGUUUUGGUUUGUUGCUUAUUUAUCUGUACGACCUUGAAUACAUUUUAAAGGAAUUCACUCAACUAUCAUCUCCUGUAAAAAGUGUUUCUUGAAUCCCUAGGCUGGAUAGAAUAUCUUUCCUUUGUCUUCCUGCUGUGGCCUGUGCAUAUCACUGGUGUUAAUUCAAAUAAUCAUCCCUUAUUUGUCAAUCUUUCCUACUAGACUGUUUUUUCCUUAAGAGCUGGACUGUGUCUUAAUUUAUCUUUUCUUUCUUUGAGCCUCACUCAAGAACUGGCACAUAGUGAAUACCUACUUAGUAUUUAUUGGGUUAAUAAAUAUAUGAAAGAAUAAAACUCCUUACCCUAUUUAGGCCCCACCUUAACAAUAUGAAAAAUAAAAGGUUGGACUAAGUCAGAGACACCACGAAUAUGGUACAUGUGCCACACUGAUCCUUUGCUGUGUCCUUGGCAGACAUUGCAAAUAAAUUACUUCUUUCUAUUCUGGACAUAAUUGCAAAAUCUUUCUCACUUUAGGGUGCACCUCCUAUGAGUGAACUUUAUUGCCAUACUUAAUUAGAUGUUCUUUCUGGCCCUUGACAGUUUCAGAUGCUCAGAGUCUGGUCCUUCCCGUCAGAAGGAAGUAUGUGUAAGAUGCUACCAAAGGUUGGGUCUAGGGGAUGAUGAAUGAUAUUCCUGCCUCUAUGUCACCUCCUGAAUUUUCAUCACUGCAUUCCUGAUUUGACAAGUGAUUUAACAUCCUAGGCUGGGGAAGGACUGAUGGAUGAAUUGGUCCUCUGUGCAUGGCUGUUGGGCAGGAAAUUAAUAAGAAUGCUAGCUGACAUGAUCUAUGGUACUGUCAGCUCAUUAUGCCUGAUUAGCUUCCAGCCUUUCACUCCCUCUGACAGCUACAGGGCCUCAGGGUUUCCAAUGGCAACUAUUUCCCUUUCUCUAAUUGAUUGCUAGGUCUCCGGCCAUGAAACCAAACCCUCCCACAGACUUGUCAGAGUAGGGAACCUUUCUGCAUCAUAUUACGUUCUCCCUUUUGGCAGUGGGAAGGUGAGCUCCUGGAUUGUCUAAGUGGUGUUGACAGUAAAGCCCUUUGAACUCAGGAAACAAAAUUUGAAGGGGUCAAAUCAGUCUAGUUGAUCAAGUUCUUAUCAAACUACUUACCAUGUGCUGAGGUCUGUGUUCAGUAAGGAAAUGGCAAAAGAAGUAGAUCAUAUGACAAUAAAAUAGGAGAGAAGCUUUAAAAUAUAUUUCAACAAACAUUUAUGAUGUACAAUAGCAACAAACACUGUGGCCUAUAUUCAAUUGAAUCCAAAUUGAAUUGUGUGUGUGUGUGUAUAUAUAUGUAUAUAUACACACACAUAUAUAUAUAUACACAUAUGUGUGUGUGUGUGUACAAAGUGAAUAUAUACACACAGGCACACCUUGUUUUAUUGCACUUCAUUCAAUUACACUUCACAGAUACUGCAUAUUUUACAAAUUGAAGGUUUGUGGCAACCCUGCAUUGAACAAGUCUGUUGGUACCGUUUUCCCAACAGCAUGUGCUUGCUUCAUGUCUCUGUCACAUUUUGGUAAUUCUUAUAAUAUUUCAAACUCUUUAAUUAUUAUAUGAGUUAUAGUGAUCUGUGAUCAGUGAUCUUUGAUGUUAGUAUUGUAAUUGUUUGGGGUGCCAGGAAAUAAACUUAAUUGAUAAAUGUGUAUUUUCUGACUGCUCCACAAACUGAUGGUCUCUCUGUUUUCUUCCUUCUCUCUUCAGGCCCCCAUACUCCCUGAGACACAACAACAUUGAUAUUAGACCAGUUAAUAACUCUACAAUGGCCUGUAAGUGUUCAAGUGAAAGGAAGAGUCGCAUAUCUCUCACUGUAAAUCAAAAACUAGAAAUGAUUAGGCUCAAUGAGGAAGCCACGUUGAAAGCUGAGAAAGGCUGAAAGUAGGCUUCUUGUGCCAAAUAGUUAGUCAAGUUGUGAAUGCAAAGAAAACAGGCUUGAAGGAAAUUUAAAGUGCUACUUCAGUGAACACAUGAAUAAUAAGAAAGUGAAUCAGCAUUAUUGCUAAUAGAAAGGAAGUUUCAGUGGUCUGGAUAGAAGAUCAAAUCAGCCAUAACAUUCCCUUAAGCCAAACCCUAAUC
rnacentral:lncRNA from 1 species